AGAGACAGCAACAGACGACACAGAGAAAGUGAUGGAGAGAGACAGAAGAAUAGAGUUCCAGACAGUUGUAGAAUGUAUGCCAAGGCACAUUGUAAGAGCUGUAAAGAGAGAGGGAGGGAGAGAGAACAGGCAGAACCUGAUAUGUAAAUGAGCAGAGCAAAUGAAACUCACUUUUGACGACCUGAUGAUCAUUCCAGACUGUGUUUCUAUUGAGAGAUAAAAGGCUGGUUGAAUGAGUUGUCUAUGAAAGCUACUUCAUCUGUAAGAAAACAGGCGUCUGCUCCAGUGACUGGUUCAGUGCUCUAAAAUGAGUCUCUCUUGGGAGAGAAAGGAGGGGGACCCUGCCUCUAAAAUGAGUCUCUCUGGGGAGAGAGAGGAGGGGGUCCCUGCCUCUAAAAUUAGUCUCUCUGGGGAACAUGACACCAAAGCUAACAGACCAAUCCAGCAGGAGAGACCAGCCUCCCCUGUUCCCAGCUGUGUGUCCAUGAAGAGUGACCGGUCUAUAAUUCUACCUAUAGAGUUUAGAGAGGGAGACUUUUCUACUGAACAAAGGUAAGAACUCAUGGGUCCUGGUCAGUGAGUUAAACAAUACUUACAUUUACAUUUACAUUUAAGUCAUUUAGCAGACGCUCUUAUCCAGAGCGACUUACAAAUUGGUGCAUUCACCUUAUGACAUCCAGUGGAACAGCCACUUUACAAUAGUGCAUCUAAAUCUUUUAAGGGGGGGUGAGAAGGAUUACUUUAUCCUAUCCUAGGUAUUCCUUAAAGAGGUGGGGUUUCAGGUGUCUCCGGAAGGUGGUGAUUGACUCCGCUGUCCUGGCGUCGUGAGGGAGUGUGUUCCACCAUUGGGGAGCCAGAGCAGCGAACAGUUUUGACUGGGCUGAGCGGGAACUGUACUUCCUCAGUGGUAGGGAGGCGAGCAGGCCAGAGGUGGAUGAACGCAGUGCCCUUGUUUGGGU